rnacentral:snRNA from 1 species
UUGCUCCCUUCAGCAGCACAUAUACUACAAUUGGAAUGAUACAGAAAAGAUUAGCAUGGCCCCUGCGCAAGGAUGAUGGGCAAAUUUGUGAAGCAUUCCAUAUAUUU